AGAAUAAUUCACAAUGGGGGAAACCCUGAUGGUGCAACGCCGCGUGGAGGAUGAAGGUCUUCGGAUUGUAAACUCCUGUCAUCUGGGAGUAAGACCUGACGGUAAAUAGCCGGCAGGGUUGAUAGUACCAGAAGAGGAAGGGACGGCUAACUUAGUGCCAGCAGCCGCGGUAAUACGAAGGUCCCAAGCGUUGUUCGGAAUCACUGGGCGUAAAGGGAGCGUAGGCGGCGUGGUAAGUCAGAUGUGAAAUCCCGGGGCUCAACCCCGGAACUGCAUCCGAUACUGCCAUGCUUGAGGGUUGGAGAGGUAGCUGGAAUUCUCGGUGUAGCAGUGAAAUGCGUGGAUAUCGAGAGGAACACUCGUGGCGAAGGCGAGCUACUGGACAACAUCUGACGCUGAGGCUCGAAGGCUAAGGGAGCAAAA
rnacentral:rRNA from 1 species